rnacentral:rRNA from 1 species
ACACUCCUACGGGAGGCAGCAGUGGGGAAUAUUGCACAAUGGGCGCAAGCCUGAUGCAGCCAUGCCGCGUGUAUGAAGAAGGCCUUCGGGUUGUAAAGUACUUUCAGCGGGGAGGAAGGCGAUAAGGUUAAUAACCUUGUCGAUUGACGUUACCCGCAGAAGAAGCACCGGCUAACUCCGUGCCAGCAGCCGCGGUAAUACGGAGGGUGCAAGCGUUAAUCGGAAUUACUGGGCGUAAAGCGCACGCAGGCGGUCUGUCAAGUCGGAUGUGAAAUCCCCGGGCUCAACCUGGGAACUGCAUUCGAAACUGGCAGGCUAGAGUCUUGUAGAGGGGGGUAGAAUUCCAGGUGUAGCGGUGAAAUGCGUAGAGAUCUGGAGGAAUACCGGUGGCGAAGGCGGCCCCCUGGACAAAGACUGACGCUCAGGUGCGAAAGCGUGGGGAGCAAACAGGAUUAGAAACCCGGGUAGUCCCAUGA